GAAAGUAAUUAAGGGCGCAUGGCGGAUGCCUUGGCUCACAGAGGCGAUGAAGGACGUGAUAAGCUGCGAUAAGCUGCGGUAAGGUGCAAAUAACCUUUGACCCGCGGAUUUCCGAAUGGGACAACCCACCCACGCAAUACGUGGGUAUCACUGCUCAGCGGUGAGGCGAACCGGGGGAACUGAAACAUCUUAGUACCCCGAGGAAAAGAAAAUAAAUUAAUGAUUCCCCCAGUAGUGGCGAGCGACCGGGGAAUAGCCCAAACCAGCGUUGUGGCAACGCAUCGCUGGGGUUGUAGGACCGCGCUGUUGUACAUUGCGUGUGAGGAGAAUCUCCUGGAAAGGAGUGCCAUAGCGGGUGAUAGCCCCUUAUCCGAAGCAUAAGAUGACAUAGCGGUAUCCUGAGUAACGCGGGACACGAGUAAUCCUGCGCGAAUCUGCCGGGACCAUCCGGUAAGGCUAAAUACUCCUGUGAGACCGAUAGCGAACCAGUACCGUGAGGGAAAGGUGAAAAGCACUUCGAUAAGAAGAGUGAAAUAGUUCCUGAAACCAUGCGCCUACAAGCGGUCGGAGCUGCUUUAGCAGUGACGGCGUGCCUUUUGCAUAAUGAACCUACGAGUUACCUUCACCAGCAAGGUUAAGGGCCAUUAGGCCUGGAUCCGCAGUGAAAGCGAGCCUGAAUAGGGCGUAUUAGUUGGUGGUGGUAGACGCGAAACCAAGUGAUCUACACAUGUCCAGGAUGAAGUCCCGGUAACACGGGAUGGAGGUCCGAACGGAUAAGCGUUGAAAAGCUUCCCGAUGAGGUGUGUGUAGGAGUGAAAGGCCAAUCAAACUUGGAGAUAGCUCGUACUCCCCGAAAGGCAUUUAGGUGCCGCGUGCAGUGUUUUCCCCAAGAGGUAGAGCGACCGAUAGGACGCGAGGGCUUCACCGCCUAUCAAGUCCUGACGAACUCCGAAUGCUUAGGGGUUAGAAGCUGCGCAGUAAGGGGACGGGUGCUAAGGUCCGUUCCCGAGAGGAGAAGAAUCCAGACCGCCGUCUAAGGUCCCGGAGUUCUGCCUGAGUUAGUCUAACGAAGUCUGGUCCCCGCGACAGCCAGGAUGUUGGCUUGGAAGCAGCCAUUCAUUUAAAGAGUGCGUAACAGCUCACUGGUCGAGGGUCCGGGCGUGGAUAAUAAUCGGGUAUAAGGCAGACACCGAAGACGCGGGAUAGAAUUUAAAAAAGUAUCGGUAGGGGAGCAUUCCAUCGGCGUUGAAUGCGAUAAGACAAUUAUCGCUGGAGCUUAUGGAAAAGCAAAUGUAGGUAUAAGUAACGAUAAGGAGGGUAAGAUUCCCUCCCGCCGUAAGACUAAGGUUUCCCGGGCAAUGUCAAUCAUCCCGGGGUCAGUCGGGUCCUAAGGCUCAGCCGAACGGCGAGGCCGAUGGCAGAAAGGGUUAAUAUUCCCUUACUGCCGCACGGAGCGACGCGGAGACGGAGGCGUGACACCACCGCGGAGAGACGGAAUUCUCCGUUGAAGAGUGUAGAUGUUGAGGGUGGCAGGCAAAUCCACCACCCGAGUCGAACCUCGAAAGUAUGCUUUUCCCUUCGGGGCGAGGCAAUAGUGUGGGUAAUCAUACUCCCGAGAAAAUCCGCUAAGCUUAAUCCGUGCGGCACCCGUACCGCAAACGGACACACGUAGUCGGGUAGAACAUACUAAGGCGUUGAGAGAUUCAUGGUUAAGGAACUAGGCAAAUUGACCCCGUAACUUCGGGAUAAGGGGUCCUCAUAGCAAUAUGAGGCGCAGAGAAUAGGUCCAGGCAACUGUUUAACAAAAACACAGGGCUGUGCAAACUCGAAAGAUGAGGUAUACAGCCUGACACCUGCCCGGUGCCGGAAGGUUAAGAGGAGAGCUUAGAGGCAACUCGAAGGUUUGAAUUGAAGCCCCGGUAAACGGCGGCCGUAACUAUAACGGUCCUAAGGUAGCGAAAUUCCUUGUCGGGU
rnacentral:rRNA from 1 species